AAAAAAAUUUUCAGCGAUAGUUUUCCCCUCCUAAUACUGGCAAAUUUUGUGAGGAACUAUGCCAUGUAAAAACUUCUCUCCCAAGAGGUGUCGCACUGCGGCAGCGGUGGUUUUGCCCUCCUAAUGCUGGCAAAAUUUGUGAAGAACUAUGCCAUAUAAAAACUUCUCUCCAAAUAGGUGUCGCACUGCGGCACGUCGUUCGGGCUCGGCUGUGAAAAGAAGGUCCUUUUCAUUGAACUUAAAACUUGAAUCGGACUGCACUCAUUGAUAAGUGAGAAGUUUGCCCCUGUUCCUCAGUGGAAUGUUCAUGGGCAAAAUUUGCAAUUUACAGCUAGUUAUACUAAUUUAAAUUACCAAAAAUUGUCUCGACACGGGUUAACUAUGAGCAUCACGCAGGCUGAAAUUUUGAGCUCCAAUCUGUGUGGUGCUCUUCGUUAUCACGAGAAGCUUAGCUGGGAGCUACCGGGCGCGUUCCGAGGUUGAGGAUAGUGGAAUGCUCCAUACGGAGUUGCUGCAACUACAGUCGCGGACAAUCAGCAGGCCGGGUGAUCCCGGCUGUUGCGAUUUCCAUAUGGUAAAAUCAGUAACAGAACAAUCUGUGCCAAAUUUUGUGCUGAUCGGUUGAUCGGUCGAGUGGAGAGUCAGUGAGAGGCCGGGUAGUCCCAGGUCGUUUAAAAAUUGUUGCUACUAUGGCCAUAUAAGUGGAAAUCCGGCGAUAAAUAAUUAUGGACGCAAUAUCCAAAUUUGAACCGAUUUUGAUGAAAUCUCGCAGAUCUCGCCACAUUGUCCACUAUAUACACACUGGAGAUAAAUGAUAAGCUGGAUGUGAGAGUCGAUGGAGUAAAGAUUUUAACCAACAAGUGACCCAUAAUACUUGGUGUCAUAUUUAACAUCUCUUUCAUAAUCUCUUCACCAAGGCCGCAAAGCAACGUUACCAUUGGAAACCAUUUAUUGAAAGUUUUUAAAAAGGAGACACAACAGAUUUGUUCCAAUAAAAAAAUUUGCAGGAGAAUAAGAACAGCAUUUACACUUCUGCUAUUUAUUUUAAUUAAACGCUGGUUUUCAUAAAACAAAAAACGUCAAAUACUUGUAUGAAAUGCAUAAAAGGCAUAUCGUUGUUUUCGAUUUAUUGUUGUUGCUAUAGUUCCUUUUUUCAUAAUUUUUAAUUUGAUAAACAAGUUUUUAUUUUAAACCUAUAAUCGGAUAUUCACAAAUGCCGCCAAUAACUAUUAGUGAGAAAGAAUAACAGUAAAAAGAUCGUUUAAAAAUUGUUGCUACUAUGGCCAUAUAAGUGGAAAUCCGGCGAUAAAUAUGUAUGCCACAUCCAAAUUUGAACCGAUUUUGAUGAAAUCUCGCAGAUAUAUUAAGAUCAGUAACAAAAUAAUCCGUGCCAAAUUUUGUGCACAUCGGUUACAAAUUGUGUUUAUUACAACCUUAUAAGAGUAAAUCGGGCGAAAUAUAUAUAUGGGAGCUAUAUCCAAAUCUGAGCCGAUUUUGAGGUAAAACAAAUUUAUUGUGAAAAAUGUUUCGUUGAAAUAGCGUUAUGCAGAAAAAUUGCUGUUGUUAACUAACGCAACAAACUAGAUGACAUUGUAAAAUGUAAAAGUGAUUUUAUUGACUUGGGUACUGAGGAUGGAAGGCAAUACAUGUGAAUCUAUAUUUCAUGAUAUUGCACGCAAAAUGCUAAAAUUGGUAUUUAUAACUGACGGAAAUAUACCAAAAGCUCCGUUCCAAGUUGUCCCAAAAGGUUAGAGAAAAUUCAAUAUUGCGAUUUCAGAGAAAAACAGUUUUUUUGAUUCAUUUACUUUGUGAUAAUGACAUAAAAACAAAUUGUUAUCGAUAUCAUUAAUCAUGAGAUGUUUUGCAUACAAUUAAUGAACAGUGAUGUCCAUUAUCAAGAAUUUACUAUGUGUGUCAUAGGUUUGCGUUUACCACCAUGUUUACCUUCAAAAGACUUCAUUGCUGGAGCUUCUUCAUCCAUUCUGACAACAUGCCCCAGCCAACGCAGCCGUUGUAUUUUUUAAAUAUACGGUGUCGCAGAAAACGAAGAGAGACUCAAAAUGGAAUCGACAAUUCGUUUUUUUAGAACCAUGGGACCAUUAAGAAAAAAUAUAAACAUUUUAAGCAAUAUAUUUCAUGUUUUAUUCGCAAUUAAAUCCAAUGAAAAAUAUUUCUGUGAAAAAUAUCAACUAUUUAUUUUUAUUAAAACAGUAAAAACAUUAUUUAAAAGUUAUGGUAAAUUUGAAAUAAAUAGUUCUCUGAGUUAAUAACAA